ensembl:lncRNA
GCUCAAUAAAGCUCUGACAGAGACGCCUCGGGCCUGAGUGAUGGGCUCCUCAAGGGACCUGGGACUCAGUUUCCCCAACUAAAAAGAGACCUUUGCAAAUUCACAGUCUUGGAGAGCAUGCCAAACCCAUGUGACAUCAGCCACACAUCCCACUAACACCCUACCCUGAAGCAUCUUCUCGUGCUGUCCUCUGUGGUCGAGAAGGAAGUGGGCUGACAGAUCCACGUUCUCAUGUAUAAACGAGAAGACGCAGAGCCUCACAGACCAGCCGGAUUCUCAGAGGAAGAAACUCAGACACAACACUGUUUUCCUGUGAGAGUCCUGUAUUCAUGGUGAAUGGGACGUGACCAAGAUUGGAUAAAAACAGGAUCAUCUCGUACUUUUCUAGCUCAUUUGCAUUACACCACGGUAACUGACCGCUGUUGUUCUAGCCUGGGGAGGACCCGUUUCCCCUUCGGUGGGGUGGACCGAGCUCUGCCCCAUGGGGUUGUCCAUACAGUUAAGACCCCUUGGUGCCGUGGAACAUGUAGACACUGGCAAUCAGAGCAAAGCAUCCCAAUGGACAGCAAUCAGCUCACACAAGUGACAAGUAAUAGACAAUCAGAGAAGUAAUCCCAGAUCUUCUGCUGGAGUUAUUGGGAAAAGAGGAGCUCCCCUUCUGGUGUACUUCAAGCUGUGUGUGCACGUAUGUGCCAAGUUGCUUUAGUCGUGUCUGACUCUUUGCGAUCCUAAGGAAGGUAAGCCCACCAGGCUCCUCUGUCCAUGGGAUUCUCCAGGCAAGAAUAUUGGAGUGGGUUGCCAUGCCCUCCUUAAGCUGGGUGAACAGUAUAUAAAUCUGGACCUGCCGCUGCCAUCGUGUUGUGUUAUCAUGAAGGGUAAACCUGCCGGAGAUUGGAGCUCACACAGAGGAAAGCAGGGAUGAAGAGACAACAAAACUGUCCUUAAUAUGUCACUGGAGCCCUUGGGUGCAGCCACGCCUGAAUUCAAAUCUGCCUUUCACUUAUCCCACGGAGUUGGGAUUCUGUUGCUCUCAGCUGAGAAUCCUGACUGAGUCAGCCUUAUUUGAGGUUCCUGCGAUAUUAUGAGCUAUCAUUAUUUGUGAAAACUCUUUCCAUCCUCACUUUGCCUGGGGAUUAAUGACAACAGGGAUUCCACACAGCUGCGUAGUGCUCCGUGCUUUCCAGAAUGCCUUCAGCAAGGGUGGACGGUCAGAGUGUCUGUCCUACUUGUUACAGCUAGCAUCUGUCCAGUAGCUGCUCCAACUAGUCCAUCCCCACGGUACACAGACUGAUAAAUAUUUUGGAUAUCACCUUUGCUCGUACCCUUUGUUGUUGUUGUUGAGUCGCUAUGUCUGACUCUCUGCACCUCCAUGGACUGCAGUACGCCAGGCCUCCCUGACCUCCACUAUCUUCUGAAGUUUACUCCAGUUCAUGUCUAUUAAGUCAGUGAUGCUAUCUAACCGUCUCACAUUCUCUGUCUCCCUAUUCUCCUUUUGCCUUCAAUCUUUCCCAGCAUCAGGGUCUUUCCCAAUGAGCCAGCUCUUCGUAUCAGGUGGCCAAAGUAUUGGAGCUUCAGCUUUAGCAUUCAGUCUUCCAGUGAAUAUUCAGGACUGAUUUCCUUUCGGAUUGACUGGUUUGAUCUCCCCGCAGUCCAAGGAACUCUCAAGAGUCUUCUCCAGCACCACAAUUCAAAAGUAUCGAUUCUUCAGCGCUCAGCCUUCUUUAUGGUCCAACUUUCACAUUUGUACAUGACCACUGGAAAAAUCAUAGUUUUGACUAUUCAGACCUACAGCAUCCCGUUUAUACCACAAACCAAAGUGGGAGGAGAACGUUCCCUGACGGUCCAGUGGUUCACAUUUCCCUUCUAAUGCAGGGGGGAUAGGUUCUAUCUCUACUUGGGGAGCUAAGA